rnacentral:rRNA from 1 species
CUUGGGCAAUGGGCGCAAGCCUGAUCCAGCCAUGCCGCGUGAGUGAUGAAGGCCUUAGGGUCGUAAAGCUCUUUCGCCAGGGAUGAUAAUGACAGUACCUGGUAAAGAAACCCCGGCUAACUCCGUGCCAGCAGCCGCGGUAAUACGGAGGGGGUUAGCGUUGUUCGGAAUUACUGGGCGUAAAGCGCGCGUAGGCGGAUUGGAAAGUUGGGGGUGAAAUCCCAGGGCUCAACCCUGGAACGGCCUCCAAAACUCCCAGUCUUGAGUUCGAGAGAGGUGAGUGGAAUUCCGAGUGUAGAGGUGAAAUUCGUAGAUAUUCGGAGGAACACCAGUGGCGAAGGCGGCUCACUGGCUCGAUACUGACGCUGAGGUGCGAAAGUGUGGGGAGCAAACAGGAUUAGAUACCCUGGUAGUCCACACCGUAAACGAUGAAUGCCAGUCGUCGGAUAGCAUGCUAUUCGGUGACACACCUAACGGAUUAAGCAUUCCGCCUGGGGAG